ACCCUAGACCAGAAGGCAUUGUGCUGACUCCCAGAAUGCACUAGAAAGCAAUUCCAGCCCAUUUAGUAUCUAGGUGACUCUAUCCCAAGCUUCUUCUCCUGGUGCCUUUGUCCCCAUCUCUCCAAGCCACCUUGAUUGUCUCCUCUACCUGACAGGGUCACCCUGCUGGCUGCAGGCUGGAGGGAUUUAUAGCAAUCCCCUCCCUCCUUGCCUGCACGGGGCUACCAGACAGCCGGAAGAUAUGUGGGUUGGACACAGUGGGGCCCUGGGAGAGGCAAAUAAAUACAUCAAGUUCCCAGCUGGGUCUGGAGAUAAGGACACAGGAAGAUGGGGCUGCAGGAUUCACAGAUGCUGCACUGCACGGGGUCACUCUUCAUAGCCUGAUUCCUCUGGCUUCCCCAGGAAAGUCUAUUUGGGGCACUUUGAAGAGGACACAGAAGAGGACAGCACCUGAGCAAUCUUUUCCUGGGAGGCGCUGCACUGAGGCGCCCUUCCUCAGCUUGGAUUUGGU
rnacentral:lncRNA from 1 species